GACGAACGCUGGCGGCGUGCCUAAUACAUGCAAGUCGAGCGGGAAACUUCGGUUUCCAGCGGCGAACGGGUGAGUAACACGUGGGCAACCUGCCCUCAAGCUUGGGAUAACUCCGGGAAACCGGGGCUAACACCAAAUAAUCUUUUCUCUCGCAUGAGCGAAAAGUAAAAGUUUACACUUGAGGAUGGGCCCGCGGUGCAUUAGCUUGUUGGUGAGGUAACGGCUCACCAAGGCAACGAUGCAUAGCCGACCUGAGAGGGUGACCGGCCACACUGGGACUGAGACACGGCCCAGACUCCUACGGGAGGCAGCAGUAGGGAAUUUUCCGCAAUGGGCGCAAGCCUGACGGAGCAACGCCGCGUGAGUGAAGACGGCCUUCGGGUUGUAAAGCUCUGUUCUUGGGGAAGAAACAAAUGACGGUACCCAAGCAGAAAGCCCCGGCUAACUACGUGCCAGCAGCCGCGGUAACAC
rnacentral:rRNA from 1 species